rnacentral:rRNA from 1 species
UGCCAGCCGCCGCGGUAAUACGGAGGGGGCUAGCGUUGUUCGGAAUUACUGGGCGUAAAGCGCACGUAGGCGGAUCAGUCAGUCAGAGGUGAAAUCCCGGAGCUCAACUUCGGAACUGCCUUUGAUACUGCUGGUCUAGAGUCCGGGAGAGGUGCAUGGAAUUCCGAGUGUAGAGGUGAAAUUCGUAGAUAUUCGGAGGAACACCAGAGGCGAAGGCGAUGCACUGGACCGGUACUGACGCUGAGGUGCGAAAGCGUGGGGAGCAAACAGGAUUAGAUA